GUAGAAACAGAACAUACGCAAUGCGACAAAAUUAAAAGCACGUUUUAACAUUCCUAACAACAUACCAGAAAGCACCUAUGUAAUUUGGUCGGGUUAUUUGUUGCCCACCAUAAACCAUACUUACGAACACUGGUAAAGAUAAAGAUCAUUUAUUAUUUAAGUAGGCAUAUUACAAUGCGCUUAUGAACGUCAAAUAAAGCUACGCCGGCUCUAACCCUACACCUCUACCCCGAGAAGAUUUAAAUCCCCCCUCAAUUUGAGGAGGGUAUCCCAAUAUGGGACCGGCAACAAACUCGGCGGAACACAUCUUUUCAAAACAUUGCAUCUUAUAAUUAACAUGCAUUA